rnacentral:miRNA from 1 species
ACUAGGACACAUGGGGACACAGACACUGGGAGACCUGGGGACACAGACACUUGGGGACACUGGAAAACAUGGGGACACUGGGACACAUGAGGAUGCUGAGACACAUGGGGACAUUGGGAGACACUAUGUUCCCAUGUCCCCCAGCCAGUGUCCCUAGUGUCUCAGUGUCCCCAAGUCUCCCAGUGUCUGUGUCCCAUAUCUCUCAGUG